AUUGAACGCUGGCGGAAUGCUUUACACAUGCAAGUCGAACGGUAGAGGGGGCAACCCCUUGAGAGUGGCGAACGGGUGAGUAAUAUAUCGGAACGUGCCCAGUCGUGGGGAUAACGUAGCGAAAGCUACGCUAAUACCGCAUACGAUCUACGGAUGAAAGCGGGGGGAUCGCAAGACCUCGCGCGAUUGGAGCGGCCGAUAUCAGAUUAGGUAGUUGGUGAGGUAAAGGCUCACCAAGCCGACGAUCUGUAGCUGGUCUGAGAGGACGACCAGCCACACUGGGACUGAGACACGGCCCAGACUCCUACGGGAGGCAGCAGUGGGGAAUUUUGGACAAUGGGCGCAAGCCUGAUCCAGCAAUGCCGCGUGCAGGAAGAAGGUCCUAUGGAUUGUAAACUGCUUUAUACAGGAAGAAACAACUCCCUCGUGAGGGAACUUGACGGUACUGUAUGAUAAGACCGGCUAACUACCGUGCCAGCAGCCGCGGUAAA
rnacentral:rRNA from 1 species